GACGAACGCCGGCGGCGUGCUUAACACAUGCAAGUCGAACGGAAAGGCCCUGCUUUUGUGGGGUGCUCGAGUGGCGCACGGGUGAGUAACACGUGAGUAACCUGCCCUUGACUUUGGGAUAACUUCAGGAAACUGGGGCUAAUACCGGAUAGGAGCUCCUGCUGCAUGGUGGGGGUUGGAAAGUUUCGGCGGUCGGGGUUGGACUCGCGGCUUAUCAGCUUGUUGGUGGGGUAGUGGCUUACCAAGGCUUUGACGGGUAGCCGGCCUGAUAGGGUGACCGGCCACAUUGGGACUGAGAUACGGCUCAGACUCCUACGGGAGGCAGCAGUGGGGAAUAUUGCACAAUGGGCGGAAGCCUGAUGCAGCAACGCCGCGUGCGGGAUGACGGCCUUCGGGUUGUAAACCGCUUUCGCCUGUGACGAAGCGUGAGUGACGGUAAUGGGUAAAGAAGCACCGGCUAACUACGUG
rnacentral:rRNA from 1 species